GACGAACCGUGCGAACGUUGUUCGGAAUCACUGGGCUUAAAGGGCGCGUAGGCGGCCUUCUAAGUCGAACGUGAAAUCCCUGGGCUCAACCCAGGAACUGCGUCCGAUACUGGAAGGCUUGAAUCCGGGAGAGGGAUGCGGAAUUCCAGGUGUAGCGGUGAAAUGCGUAGAUAUCUGGAGGAACACCGGUGGCGAAGGCGGCAUCCUGGACCGGUAUUGACGCUGAGGCGCGAAAGCCAGGGGAGCAAACGGG
rnacentral:rRNA from 1 species